rnacentral:tRNA from 1 species
GGGACCGUAGCUCAGUUGAUUAGAGCAAUUCCUUGUCAAGGAAUAGGUCGCGGGUUUGAGUCCCGUCGGUCCCG